UAUUUGCAUUUGUAUGCCAACCGCUACGAUUUUCCAUUUCCCUAGAUGGAGAUCUCGCGGUCCCCGAUAGAAGCAGUGGCCAUCUGAUAUUUGCAGGGACGUCUCGACAGGCGGCGUCUUUCACGACGUCUCUCUCCCCUCUCUCUAUCUGUCUCUCAAGAUUACAUCUGCAGGGACGGCUCGACAGGUCUCGUUGGGGAUCGAUGGCAACUCUCUCUCUCUUCUCCAACUCUUUCUCUCCUACUGUCUCUCAGAAGUAAUGAUGUUACCCCUCGCUCCGCCCAACUCUCUCUCUCUCUCUUCUCAAUCUAUCUCGCCCUCUCUAAUCUCCCUCUUUGCUGCUGCAAACCUCUAUCAGAGAUUGGGCAACCCAAACUAUGUCGGCGCUCAAUCAAUCUCCCUCUUUGUUGCCCCAUUGAUGCUGCCCCAUUGCUGCCACCAAAAGUAUAUCGCCUCUCACUCAAUUUCCCUCUUUUUGCCUCAUUGCUGCUGCCCUCUUUCAAUCUCUCUCUCUCUCGCUGGUGCCUCACUGUUUCCAUUGCCGUUGCGCCCUUGCUCGAUUGGGGCAAUCUUUGGAAUUUGAGAUUUAUCCAAGGUUCAGGUGUUGAAAACCAUUCCAUUAGAGGCUCUCAAGGGAUGCAGGCUGGUUUUCAGUCGAAUUUUCCCAACCAAUAGCAGAAUAUCUUGGAGCAUCAUGCUCCAAAGAGAUCGAUGAAGCAGUCACUCAUGUGGUUUUUUUCAUUAGUAUUUUUUUUGGUAUGAAACGUGAUUGAUCCAUGUUGCACAAUCUCUUUGUAAAAUGAUUGUGCUUUAUUUAAGGGUAAUGUAGGAAUUUUGAAGAGAUAUGGUUUAUGUGGGUAUGUGUAACCCUUUUGGGGUUUUCUUGGGUUUCAUUAGUUUUGUUUGCUCUGGGGAUGCUGUGCUAAAUAACACGUUGUGGAUUUCUCAUGUACCUGCUGUCUAACCUAGUAUCGACCAUUGCAUAUAUGGUGUUGCCCUGCACUAACAUUUGGAAAUGAGCAGAAAGAGAUUUCUUUAGAUAGCCUUCUCAAUAUUGAAGUGAGCAGCAAGAGUUGUACCAUGUGUUUCCUAUCUUCUUUUGGCCAUGCCUUCUUCACCCUUUAUCCUCAAUAUUGAAUGUGAUUGAGAUGCAUAUCAGCAUUCUAUAGGUACAUUACUCAACAUUCAUUACAAGGUGUUAGUAUACCAAAUCCUCAAUAUUGAAUGUGAUUGAGAUGCAUAUCAGCAUUCUAUAAGUAUGUUUUCUAUGUAUACCAUGCAACAGUGGUGGUAGAUGAUAUAGUAUGUCAUAAAUACUUAAAGUGACAACCUGAUUCUAUAUUUCACAGUUUAUCAUUGAUAUUGAAUGACUAAUUCUUGUAACAACUCUGAGUUCAGGUGUUGAAAACCAUUCAGUUAGAGGUUCUCAAGGGAUGUAGGUUGGUGUUCAGUCGAUUUUUCCGAACCAAUAGAAGAACAGCUUGGAGCAUCAUGCUUCAAAGAGCUCGAUGAAGCAGUCCCUCAUAUGGUUUUGCUCGAUUUAGGGAUUGAGAAGGCUCGUUGGUCUUUACUGCGAAAGAAUGGAGGAGUAUCUUAUUCAUGUUUUUUUUCUUUAGUAUUUUUUUGGAAUGAAACAUGAUUGAUCCAUGUUACACAAUCUCUUUAUAAAAUGAUUGUGCUUUAUCUAAGGGUAAUGUAGGAAUUUUAAAGAAAUAUGGUUUAUGUGGGUAUGUGUAACCACUUUUGGGGUUUUCUUGGGUUUCAUUAGUUUUGUUUGCUCAGUAGAUAUUGUGCUUUGAGAUGAUGGGAAUGUGUAAACUUGAAGGGAGUAAUGAAAACAAAAGUGGGGAUGUUGGAUUACAUCAGUUUGUAAUUGCAAAAGUAUUGCUUGAUGAUGAUGCAUACACCAGGACAUUAGAAUGUGA